GAUGAACGCUGGCGGCGUGCCUAAUACAUGCAAGUCGAGCGAACGGACAAGAAGCUUGCUUUUCUGAUGUUAGCGGCGGACGGGUGAGUAACACGUGGAUAACCUACCUAUAAGACUGGGAUAACUUCGGGAAACCGGAGCUAAUACCGGAUAAUAUUUUGAACCGCAUGGUUCAAAAGUGAAAGACGGUCUUGCUGUCACUUAUAGAUGGAUCCGCGCUGCAUUAGCUAGUUGGUAAGGUAACGGCUUACCAAGGCAACGAUGCAUAGCCGACCUGAGAGGGUGAUCGGCCACACUGGCACGGAGACACGGUCCAGACUCCUACGGGAGGCAGAAGUAGGGAAUCUUCCGCAAUGGGCGAAAGCCUGACGGAGCAACGCCGCGUGAGUGAUGAAGGUCUUCGGAUCGUAAAACUCUGUUAUUAGGGAAGAACAUAUGUGUAAGUAACUGUGCACAUCUUGACGGUACCUAAUCAGAAAGCCACGGCUAACUACGUG
rnacentral:rRNA from 1 species